GUUCCACAUGGUCUGCAGUGGCAGAUUUAAGGGGGCCAUAGCUCCCCCCUAAAACUUUAUAAUUUAGGGAUUACCUUCAACAAGAAAGUUAUCCCGGACUAAAUUAACCACGGCUACAAGUGAAAGUCUGACAACGAUAGGCUGAAGAGUGAUACAGGUUGUUCCACCGCACAACGUGAACCCUAACAUGACGUGGAUGACUAUGUUAAUCCUAAUGGUAAACAGUUUUGGAAUUUACUAUAGCGAAGGUGCAGGUUUCAGACACAAAAUUUCCAAAACCAUAACUUUACAUCAAUCCCAGGAAGCAUCCAUUAAAUCCCCUGGGUAUCCCACAAAGCAUUACGAGAAAGACACAGUCUACAUAUGGACCGUGACGGCCCCGGGAACCACGGAGGAGAUCACUAUCAAUAUAUUAGAUCUGGAUUUGCCAUACACUCCAGGAUACCCUUGUGACGACUAUUUGAAG